AGUGAACGCUGGCGGUAGGCCUAACACAUGCAAGUCGAACGGCAGCACAGUAAGAGCUUGCUCUUACGGGUGGCGAGUGGCGGACGGGUGAGGAAUACAUCGGAAUCUACUUUUUCGUGGGGGAUAACGUAGGGAAACUUACGCUAAUACCGCAUACGACCUACGGGUGAAAGCAGGGGAUCUUCGGACCUUGCGCGAUUGAAUGAGCCGAUGUCGGAUUAGCUAGUUGGCGGGGUAAAGGCCCACCAAGGCGACGAUCCGUAGCUGGCCUGAGAGGAUGAUCAGCCACACUGGAACUGAGACACGGUCCAGACUCCUACGGGAGGCAGCAGUAGGGAAUAUUGGACAAUGGGCGCAAGCCUGAUCCAGCCAUACCGCGUGGGUGAAGAAGGCCUUCGGGUUGUAAAGCCCUUUUGUUGGGAAAGAAAAGCAGCAGGUUAAUACCCCGCUGUUCUGACGGUACCCAAAGAAUAAGCACCGGCUAACUUCGUG
rnacentral:rRNA from 1 species